AUUGAACGCUGGCGGCAGGCCUAACACAUGCAAGUCGAGCGAGCGGCGGACGGGUGAGUAAUGUCUGGGGAUCUGCCCGAUAGAGGGGGAUAACUACUGGAAACGGUAGCUAAUACCGCAUACUAUCGGAUGAACCCAUAUGGGAUUAGCUUGUAGGUGGGGUAAAGGCUCACCUAGGCGACGAUCUCUAGCUGGUCUGAGAGGAUGAUCAGCCCCACUGGAACUGAGACACGGUCCAGACUCCUACGGGAGGCAGCAUUGGGGAAUAUUGCACAAUGGGCGCAAGCCUGAUGCAGCCAUGCCGCGUGUAUGAAGAAGGCCUUAGGGUUGUAAAGUACUUUCAGCGGGGAGGCGUUACCCGCAGAAGAAGCACCGGCUAACUCCGUGCCAGCAGCCGCGGUAAUUC
rnacentral:rRNA from 1 species